UUCUGAUUUGACGAGGGUGUUCUGU
rnacentral:piRNA from 1 species